UACGGGGGGGGCAAGCGUUGUUCGGAAUUACUGGGCGUAAAGGGCUCGUAGGUGGCCAACUAAGUCAGACGUGAAAUCCCUCGGCUUAACCGGGGAACUGCGUCUGAUACUGGAUGGCUGGAGUCUGGGAGAGGGAUGCGGAAUUCCAGGUGUAGCGGUGAAAUGCGUAGAUAUCAGGAGGAACACCGAUGGCGAAGGCAGGUCUCUGGGCAUUAACUGACGCUGAGGAGCGAAAGCAUGGGGAGCGAACAGG
rnacentral:rRNA from 1 species